UCUCCAAAGCCGUGACGAGGACAGAGAUCUAAAAGGGUUGCAGACUCAAGCAACUCUUGCAUGGUGAUCGUCAAGCCCACUUGCAUACAUCUGCCCAGCAUCUGUAUUGCAGUGAGGGAGUCACCCCCAUGUGCUAAAAAUGACUUGUUCAUCUCAAUGCCGCUCAAGGGCAUUUUCAAAACUUCGGCGCAUAUCUUCCGAAGCUGCUCUUGGGCCUCGCUCGGCGGUUGAUGUAUCGGGGUGAUCUCAAGCGUCACCAUCCUCACUGGUGUCUCUUUGAAGGCGGGAAGGGGGGAAAAUAGCAA
rnacentral:sRNA from 2 species